rnacentral:tRNA from 1 species
UUUAAAGGAUAAAAGACAAUCCA